rnacentral:rRNA from 1 species
UCCUACGGGGGGCAGCAGUGAGGAAUAUUGGUCAAUGGGCGGGAGCCUGAACCAGCCAAGCCGCGUGAGGGAAGAAGGUACAGCGUAUCGUAAACCUCUUUUGUCAGGGAACAAAGGCGGGGACUAGUCCCCGGAUGAGGGUACCUGAAGAAAAAGCAUCGGCUAACUCCGUGCCAGCAGCCGCGGUAAUACGGAGGAUGCGAGCGUUAUCCGGAUUUAUUGGGUUUAAAGGGUGCGUAGGCGGAUUGAUAAGUUAGAGGUGAAAUGUCCGGGCUCAACUCGGGAACUGCCUCUAAUACUGUUGA